UACGGGGGGGCAAGCGUUGUCGGAAUUACUGGCGUAAAGGGCUCGUAGGUGGCCAACUAAGUCGGACGUGAAAUCCCGUCGGCUUAACCGGGGAACUGCGUCUGAUGACUGGAUGGCUGAGGUUGGGAGAGGGAUGCGGAAUUCCAGGUGUAGCGGUGAAAUGCGUAGGAUAUCGGAGACACCGGUGGCGAAGGCGGCAUCCUGGAC
rnacentral:rRNA from 1 species